rnacentral:lncRNA from 1 species
CCAGAGUGGCAGCCGCAGUGUGGGAGCCCAGCUCUGCUGCCAUAAAUUACCCAGGGGCAGGAAGGAGCAGUGAGAGUCAGCGGUUUCAGCUACCUAGUAGUUCAUUUUUGUUCUUGUUUUUCAGUUAGCAAUCUGUAAAAUUUAUUGCAAAAUUAAGCUCCCUGCUCCAGAGUCAAUAAUAUUCCUGGUGCCAGGUGGUGUAAUAAUUCACCGAAAGGGCAGAAGUUGGAGGGAAUAAGACUGAUUUAGGAAGUAGACUUCCAAGCCCUAUUGCUGCUGCCUAUUCCCUGCUGCUAAAGGUCAGAAAGAAGGUAAUUUGGAGCAGAUGGAAAAGUGCAACUCAGAACACUGGGCUGAUUAGAAAGGAAGUAGGGACCCUGCACAGGGCUACUGAUCACCAGGAUUCAUUUCUGGCCUUCAGUGACUCCUGAGGAAGGGAAACGAAGCCAGUCAACGGAACCCACCUUAUACCACACUCAAACUCCCAGUGGCAUUAAAGAAAAUGAAAGCAAAAAUAAAAUAAAGCCCAUCCAAGGGACAGCAACUUCAAAGAUUGAAGGAACAUCAGCCCAUAUAGAUGAGAAAGAACCAGCACAAGAACUUGGCAACUCAAAAAGCCAGAGUGUAUUCUCACCUCCAAAUGGCCAUACUAUUUUCCCAGCAAUGGUUCUUAACCAGGUUGAAAUGACUGAAAUGACAGAAAUAGAAUUCAGAAUAUGGAUAGGAACAAAGAUCAUCAACAUUCAGGAGAAAUUUCAGACUCAAUCCAAGGAAUAUAAAGAAAACAAUGAAAUGAUACAGGAGAUGAAAGACGAAAUGACCAUUUUAACAAAGAAUCAAAUUGAUCUUAUGGAGCUGAAAAACUCACUUCAAGAAUUUCAUAAUACAAUCAAAAAUAUUAACAGCAGAAUUGACCAAGGUGAGGAAAAAAAUCUCAGGGCUUGAAGACCAGUUCUCCAAAAUAACUGUCACGCAAAAAUAAGGACAAAUAAUAAUAAAUAAGAAUAAACAAAGCCUCUGAGAAAUAGAGGAUUAUGUAAAGAGACCAGGUCUACAAUUCACUGGUGUCCCUGAAAAAGAAGGCAAGAAAGUACACAACUUGGGAAACAUAUUUGAGGAUAUUGUCCAUGAACGUUUCCCCAACCUCAUUAGAGGCGCCAACAUUCAAAUUCGGGAAAUGCAGAGACCCCCUGUGAUAUACUAUAUAAGAUCUCAAAGACACAUAGUGAUCAGAUUUGCCAAGGUUGAAAUGAAAAAAAAAGAAAAAAAAGGGUUAAAGGCAGCUAGAAAGAAAGCGGACAGGUCACAUACAAAUGGAAGCCCAUUAGGCUAACAGCAGAACCUUUAGCCAGAAAAGAUAGGGGGCCUAUAUUCAGCAGUCUUAAAGAAAAGAAAUUCCAACCAAAAGUUUCAUAUCCAGCCAAACUAACUCACAAGUGAAGGAGAAAUAAGAUCCCUUUCAGAAAAGUAAAUGUUAAAGAAAUCCAUGACCACCAGACCUGCCUUCUAAGAGGUCCUUAAGGGAGUGCUAAACAUAGAAGAGGAAGACCAUUACCAGCCACCACAGAAACACACUUAAGUACGUAGACCAUCCACGCUAUAAAGCAACCGUACAAUCAAGUCUUCAUAAUAACUAGCUAACAACACAGUGAAAGGAUCAAACCUGAACAUAUCAAUAUUAAUCUUGAAAGUAAACUGACUAAAUGCCCCUAUUAAAAGGCACAGACUGGCAAGUUGGAUAAAGAAGCAGGACUCCACUGUAUGUUGUCUUCAAGUGACCCAUCAUACAUACAAUGACAUUCACAGGCUCGAAGUAAAGGGAUGGAAAAAAAAUCUAAGCAAAUGGAAAACAGAAAAAAGCAGGAGUUGCUAUUCUAACUUCAGACAAAACAGACUUUAAACCAGCAAUGAUUUAAAAAGACAAAGAAGCACAUGACAUAAUGGUAAAGGGUUCAAUUCAACAAGACCUAACUAUCUUAAAUACCUAUUACCCAACACAGGAGUGCCCAGAUUCAUAAAACAAGUUGUUAGAGACCUAUAAAGAGACUUGGAUAAUCACACAAAAAUAGUGGGGUACUUCAGCAUCUCACUGACAGUAUUAGACAGAUUACUGAGGCAGAAAAUUAACAGACAUUUAGGACCCGAAUUUGACAUUUAACCAAAUGGACCUAACAGACAUCCACAGAACUCUCUACCCUCAAAUUCCAGAAUAUUCGUUCUUCUCAUCUGUACAUGGCACAUACUCUAAAAUUGACCACACAAUUGUUCAUAAAAUAAUCCUCAGCAAAUUUUUAAAAAAUGAAAAUAUAUUAACCAUGUUCUCAGACAACAGCACAAUAAAAACUGAAAUCAAUACUAACAAAUAGCUCAAAACAAUAUAAUUACAUAGAAAUUAACCAGCUCCUGAAUGACUUGUGUGUAAACAAUAAAAUUAAGGUAGAAACCAAACUAAUGCAGGAAGAGAAAAUUCUUAGAAACUAAUGAGAACAAAGAUACAACAUAACAGAAUCUGUGGGAUGCUAAAGCAGUGUCAAGAGGGAAGUUUAUAGUGCUAAACACUUACAUCAAAAAAUUAGAAAGAUCUCAAAUUAACAACCUAACAUCACAUCUAGAGAAACUGGAGAAACAAGAGAAAACCAACCCCAAAGCUUGUGGAAAGCAGUUUUGAGGCUUUUCUCAAAAGAACUUAUAACAAUUGGCUGGGUGCGGUGGCUCACGCCUGUAAUUCCAGCACUUUGGGAGGCCAAGGUGGGCAGAUCACCUGAGAUCAGGAGUUCGAGACCAGCCUGACCAAUAUGGAGAAACACCGUCUCUACUAAAAAUACAAAAUUAGCUGGUCACUGUGGUGCAUGCCUGUAAUCCCAGCUACUAGGGAAGCUGAGGCAGGAGAAUCACUUGAACCCAGGAGGCGGAGGUUUUGGUGAGCUGAGAUUACGCCAUUGCGCUACAGCCUGGGCAACAACAGUGAAACUCUGUCUCAAAAUAAAGAAACAAAAACAAAAGCAAAAACAAAAUUACUAUUUGACCCAUCAAUUUCAUUACUGGGUGUGUAUUCAAAAGAAAAUAAAUUGCUUUACCGAUAAGACACACGCACUUGUGUGUUCAUUGCAGCACUAUUCAGAAGAGCAAAGAGCAAAGACAUGGAAUCAACCAAGGUGCCCAUUAACAGUGGAUUGGGUAAAGAAAAUGUGUACAUACACACCAUGAAAUACUACACAGCCAUAAAAAAACAACAAGAUCUUGACCUUUUCAGGAAAAUCGAUGCAGUGGGAGGCCAUUAUCCUAAGCAACCUAACACAGGAAGAGAAAACCAAAUACUGCAUAUUCUCACUUAUAAGUGGGAGCUAAACACUGAGUAUCCUUGGACACAAAUACGGGAACAACAGACACUGGGGCGUACUUGAGGGUGGAGGUUGGGAAGAGGGUGAGGGUCAAAAAACCGCCACCACUAUGCUUAUUCCCUGGGUAAUGAAAUAAUCUGCCCAGCAAACCCCUGUGACACGCAGUUUACCUAUAUAGGAGAUCUGCACAUGUACAUUGAACCUAAAAUAAAAGUUAAAAACAAAAAAAGCCAGUCACAAAAGUUAAAGAAACAAAAAGUUCAGGUUAAAGAUAAAAUUUUGAGAAAAAAACUGGGCCUUUAAACAUUUAGGGAUGGUGGUGGGCAAGGCUAUCUUGCUAGGAGAAGGAAAGUAAAAAGUACAGCUUGAACUAUAAGAGCAAAAAGGGUAUGGGCAUUAACAGAAAAUGAAUGCUUUUAUUUCCAAAUGGUAGAAUAGAUAAAGCAUUUUUUGACAUCUUCUCCACAGGUUGUCAAAAAGUAAAAAAAAAAAAAAAAAAAAAAUAGUGGGAAAUUUUGUGUAUUAGUUCAUUAUUGCAUUGCUUUAAUAAAAUACCUGAGACUGGGUAACUUAUUAAGCAAAGACAUUUAACUGUCUCACAGUUCUGCAGGCUUUACAGGGAGCAUGGUGCUGGCAUCUGCUCAGCUUCUGGUGAAGCCUCAGGGAGAUCUCAAUCAUGGCAAAAGGCAAAGCAGGAGCAAACACAUCACAUGGCAAGAACAGCAGUGGGGGCCGGGUAGGUGCCACACACUUUUCAACCACUAGAUCUCGUGAGAACUCACUAACACAAAGAUAGCACCAAGACAUGAGGGAUCCACCCUUGUGAUCCAAACACUUCCCACUCCUAAUACCUGCAAGAGCCUUGGAAGUUUAUUCUCUAGAGAAAUUGGACUAGAAAAAUCUCAGUGAUUAGGAAUGAGGAGCCCCGAAGAGGAUAAGCUGGAGGUUUUGUGUUGAUUAUAAUACCAUGAAGUAGAAGUCUUUAAAUCAAAAGGUGAGAACUACCUUUCCUGCCUGUAGUCCUGCCUUUAGAUAUACCCCUUCCCAGACAUAACAUUGGAGGUUAAUUUUGUGGAGCACCAAAAUGAUCUACAGAAAGAAUACCAGGAGAUUCAUAGUUUUGAGCUAGCAGCAAAGAUGCUAGUAUCUCUACUUGGUUCUAUGCAAAGAUGCAGCCAUCUUUUCAUCUAAUCACCUGAGAGUCAACCUCCCCUAUGUACAAACCCCACAAACAUAAAUAAAGCUUCCAUUCAACUAUUUGUUGUUUUACUGUUAAGUAAAUGGAUGAACAAGCAACAUCAGCCAUUUGAGGAAAUCCUACUACAGGGAAGAUAUGGAACAUAACAAACAAGAACAAAGAAGUCUGAAAAAGAAGACGUAAUAUAGGGAAGAAAAGACUGCUUUAAAGAAAUUCUUAUUAAUCAUGUUAAAAAGAUAUAUAAAGAUAUUAUAACCAUUGCAUAUUAAAAUGUUGUCAAAAUGGAACAAAGAAUAGAAUGAGAUCUUGUAAAUUAAUAAUAGGAUUAAAAUUUUAAAAAAAGAAGUUUUGGAAAAUAAAUUUGAGGGAAAUGUCCAAAUUAUAGAAAUAAAAAGAAAAUGAGAUGUGUUAUAGCAGUUAUAAGAAUACUAUCAGAUGAUUCUAGGUGACCUAAUACGCAGUUACUAAGUGUUUGAAAAGAUGAGAACAGAAAAAAUAGGGAGGAGGACAUUAUCAACAAAAUAAUGUAAGAAAAUUUGUCAGGUACUAGCCAUGAGUGGUAGCACACACCUCUAAUUCCAGCUACUCAGGAGGCUGAGGUGAGAGGAUCGCCUGAGUCCAGGAGUUCAAGAAGCCAGCCUAGCAACAAUAGCAAGAAUCUUUCUCUCAAAAAUAUAAAAUUAAAUUAAAAAAAAGAAAAUUUGUCAGUGCUAAGGGCAUUGAACUUUUCCACCAAGUAUUCACUACAGUGAAUAAAAAAGUGACUCCACCAAAGCAACUUUAUCAUGAUAAUUUUAUGAAACAAGUGAUAAAGAGAAAAUUGUAAUAACCUCCAGGGGCUGAAGAAAUGAGAACAUAACAAAGAAUAAAGUGUAGGAAUGGUAUCAGAGAGCAACUAGAAUGCACUGGAAUAGGUCUUCAAAACUUUUAGUGAAAAUGAUUCCUCAAACCAUAAUUGUAUACCUAGCAAAACUUUCGUUCCAGUGUUAGGACAGAGUAAAGUCAUUUUUAGACAUACAAUGUCCCAAAAUAAUCCUCCCUCACCCAACCAAGCACUCAAUCUCAGGAAACUCCCAGAAAAUAUAUUUCAACAAAAUAAACAAAUAAGACAGAGGCAUAUUGGGAUCCAAGGAAUCAUAUGUAAGAGAAGCAAAUAGAAUUUACAACAUGAAGAAAAAGGAACUUUCUGCAUGACAGGUGUUUUGGCCUAGAGAGCAAAUAGUCCAGAAUGAAACAGGAUGUUGAAGGCCUCCAGGAAAAAUGCCUCUAAGACAAGAGACACACUGGCAAGUGAUCAGACAGGACUGCCCUGGUUGAAAGGCUGUUUUCCAGGAUGCAUUAUCAGAACAACUGGAGAAUAUGAGAAGCAUUAAACUUAAGCAAGUGUAAAAAUUUUCUCCAGAAUGCAAAAAUAUAUACUGACUUUAGCUCACAGUUUCUCGAAUAGCCUUAGCCAUACUAAGUCUGCACAGUGGCCUAGGAUGCUUUCAGUUGACAUCUCUUCCCUCUUCCUUCAUUCGGGGUCAAGGGUCAGGUUUCCUUCACAGUCUAGUGGCUCUCCGGCCUCACCUGGAUGCUCUUCAUUUUCUUUCACACAAGCACUUUCCCUUAAAAUACUACCCACAUGUGAUUCUAUCUCAGUGUCUCUUCUUCAGAGGGCAUAGCUGACAAACCUAGCAUCUGCUGUAAAUUCAUUAUAGUGGAUAGAACUGUAAUAUUCGGAUAUCACAUUUUGUCUUAAUUAUAAUACAUGUUUUCUGGUGCUUUUCCCAUAAAAACUCACAUAAAAUUCAUCAUAUUUACCCUACAAGGCAGAUACUGUUAUUAUUUUCCUCAUUCUAGAAUAAGAAAACUGAAGCACACACAGGGUAAAUGACUUCCAUAAGGUUGCACACUAGAUUGGAUCCAUGAAACCUGCUUGCCGGUCUGUUCUUAAACAUUCCAUUAGCUGCCUCUUAAACACUAUACUGAGGUCUCCCUCUAAAAUCCACAUAUAUGAGGCUAUAAUGGUUAAAGACUUUCAACAGGCUUUCAAAUAUUUUCAUUCUGAACAUUAUUUUUUCUCAGGAGAGGGUGGAAGUAGUGGUGUUAAUACAAUAACAGUUGCUCUUGGGUAUCUAGAAGAGCUGGUCCUCAUGCAUCAGUAGCUGAUAAUGGGGAUACACUCCAAGGAGCUAUAACUCAGUGUAUCACCAACUAUAGUCACAGUGUAUUGGGUUUAAAGGUAGCUUCCAAACAGAUGUCUACAUCUUAAUCCCUGCGAAUUUUGCCCUACAUGCCAAAGAGUGAAUAUUACCUUAGAUGGCAAAAGAUGUGAUUAAGGAUCUUGAGAAGAGGCAUUUAUCCUGGAUUUUAUGGGUGGGCCCUCAAUGUAAUCAUAUAUGUCCUCACGAGAGAGAGGCAUAUGGAGUUUUGAGGUAGACACAUGGAGGAGAAGGCAAGCUGAAGCCAGAGCAAAGAGAAAUGCAGCCAUAAGACAAGGGAUAACUACAGCCACCAAAAGCUAGAAACAAGGACAGUAUUCUCCCCAGAGCCUCCGGAAGGAGGGUGGCCCUGCUGACACCUUAAUUUUGUACUUCCGUCCUCUAGAACUGUGAGAAAAUCAAUGUCUAUUGUUUUAAGAAACUAAAGUUGUGGUUAUUUGUUACAGUGACCCUAGGAAACUUACACACAUGUUAUGUAUAAUAUUUUCCAUUGAACAUCAAAUAAGGGUUGACUACUCCUCCAUGGGCCAAGUAUAGAGGACGCAGGAAAUAUUUCUCAAGAAGAGUGAUUUUAAAAUUGAGUUUUGAAGGGUUCCCUUAGUUAGAAAAUAAAUAAAAAGGACAUUCAAGAAGGAGAAAUAGCACAAGUGAAGGCAUAGGAAAGUGAAAUGCGAUGGCUUCUGGACAGAAGGUGGUUCAGUGGCUCUGGAUUAGAGACAUGGGAAGAAGUCUUGAGAGCUGGGCCUGGCAAGUGGAAGCAUGUGAAGAAGCCUUGAAUGGCAUGCUAAAGCUUUUGACGUGGUGGUAAUCUGAUAGACAAUGAUGAUUAAUCAAGGCUCUUGGGACAAAAGUAGUGAUAAGAUAUAAUCAUCUGGAGCUCCAUAGAAGUGGGAACUAGGAGAUCAGCUAAGAGAAUUUUGCAAUAGUCUGAUGAGAGGGAGAAGAGGGAAUGCACAGUUGGCCAUGGCUGUAGAAUAAGAUUCAAGGUGACAGACCUGGAUAUAUGUGGGUACUGAGGAGGAAGAAAGUUGAGAAUAACUUGGAAGAGUCUACUUCCAGAUCUGGGUGGAAAGAAAGUGGCAUUGACAAAAGAGAAUGCAAAUGUGGUAGAGGGAACAUUUUUGAAGGAAUGUAAAGACACCCUAUUAUAUGGCAGGAUAGGUGAUGUGGUCAGCUUUGUGUCCCCACCCAAAUCUCUUCUUGAAUUUUAAUCCUCAUAAUCCCCAUAAUCCCUACGUGUCAAGGGAGAGACCAGGUGCAGGUAAAUGAACAUCAUGGGCGGGGGGUGGUUCCCCUAUGCUGUUCUGGUGAUAGUGAGUGAGUUCUCACGAGACCGAAUGGUUUUAUAAAGGGAUCUUCCUCUCUUCACUCAGCAACUCUCCUUCCUGCCACCUUGUGAAGAAGGUGCCUUGCUUCGUCUUCACCUUCUGCCAUGAUUGUAAGUUUCCUGAGUCCUCCCCAGCUAUGUUGAGCUGUGAGUCAAUUAAACCUCUUUCCUUUAUAAAUUACUCAGUCUCCGGCAGUUCUUUAUAGCAGUAUGAAAAUGGACUAAUACAGUGGGUAUUUUAUCAGCCCAGUGACCUUGACCACUGCACCUCUCUCUGCUUCAGCCUUC